rnacentral:lncRNA from 1 species
AACAUUUUAAAUCUUUCAGAAAACCCUAAAUCGAAGAGAAGUGAAAAAAGAGAAUUAAAGGAAAAAAAAUUAGGGAAAUUGUUUAAAAACCCAAGUGGAGCAUAGAUACGUGACAGAUCUAAGGAAAGGAAAUUGAAAAGAACCUUGAAUAGCCCUGGAUCAUAAAGAAAACCCUAGAAAUAAGAAAGGUCUUGAGGAAAGUUAGAUUCUGAGUUGAAAAGAAUCAUAUUGCUCGAACAUGCCAGAGUAAUGGCCGGAGAAGCCACAGAUCUACAGAUUUGGGAAGAUUUGAAAGGGAACCAUCGAGGUCAAGGCGCUGAUUCUUCGAACAACCAUGGUUUAUUGAGGGAGGGGAUUGAGUACCAACCAUCCAUAGCCUGAUAAGCCAUGAAUUCUGGUGGAGUGGUGGUUGAAGAGGGGUAGAAGGAGGCUAGGGUUUCAGAGAGUUACGGAGAG